GACGAACGUUGGCGGCGUGCCUAAUACAUGCAAGUCAACUGAAAUACCGGUAGCAAUACUGGUAUGGAGGUGGCGCACGGGUGAGUAACACGUAGGUAAUCUGCCUUCAGGUCUGACAUAACCCAUCGAAAGGUGAGCUAAUAUCAGAUGAUGCAGCGGCUUGACAUCAAGACAGUUGUUAAAGCUUCGGCGCCUGAAGAUGAGCCUGCGUCUGAUUAGCUAGUUGGCGGGGUAACGGCCACCAAGGCUGCGAUCAGUAGCUGGUCUGAGAGGAUGAUCAGUCACACUGGAACUGAGACACGGUCCGGACUCCUACGGGAGGCAGCAGUAAGGAAUAUUGCUCAAUGGCCGAAGGCUGAAGCAGCAACGCCGCGUGAGGGAUGAAGGG
rnacentral:rRNA from 1 species